AUGAAGCUAAUGUCUGUUAUGCUUUUAAUGUUUUUGUGUCUUUCGGUUGUAACAUGCAACGCAACAAAAGAUAUUUUCAUAUUGGCGGGACAAAGCAACAUGGCUGGUCGAGGAGGUGUUUUGAAUGGAAAAUGGGAUGGUGAUGUUCCACAAGAGUGUAAGCCAAGCCCAUCAGUUUUGAGACUGAGUUCAAAUCUUAAAUGGGAAGAAGCCCGUGAGCCGCUUCAUGAAGAUAUCGAUGUGGAAAAGACUUGUGGUGUUGGCCUGGGCUUGCGUUUGCGAACGAGGUAG